UGGGGAAUCUUCCGCAAUGGACGAAAAUCUGACGGAGCAACGCCGCGUGAGUGAAGACGGCCUUCGGGUUGUAAAGCUCUUUGAUCCGGGACGAAAGAGCCUGAGGUGAAUAGCCUAAGGAAGUGACGGUACCGGAAAAGCAAGCCACGGCUAACUACGUGCCAGCAGCCGCGGUAAUACGUAGGUGGCAAGCGUUGUCCGGAAUUAUUGGGCGUAAAGCGCGCGCAGGCGGCUUCCUAAGUCCAUCUUAAAAGUGCGGGGCUUAACCCCGUGAUGGGAUGGAAACUGGGAAGCUGGAGUAUCGGAGAGGAAAGUGGAAUUCCUAGUGUAGCGGUGAAAUGCGUAGAGAUUAGGAAGAACACCGGUGGCGAAGGCGACUUUCUGGACGAAAACUGACGCUGAGGCGCGAAAGCGUGGGGAGCAAACAGG
rnacentral:rRNA from 1 species